rnacentral:tRNA from 1 species
GUUAAUGUAGCUUAAACUUAAAGCAAGGCACUGAAAAUGCCUAGAUGAGUUCACCAACUCCAUAAACA